rnacentral:lncRNA from 1 species
UGGAUACUGCCAACCCACCUCUCCCUCCCUGAAUGCUUCUUCUCUCUUUCCCACCAGCCUCACUUUUGACCAUGUGGAGUUUGCCAGCUGCCGUCCAGCUCACCUUUGAUGCCAACCCACUUACCACCAUCCAAAGUGAGAAGGAUGUCGUUCUGUCUAUGUUAGGGACCCCCCCCCCCCGGGGACCCCAGACUCAUCGUAGAUUCAGAGAUGCGAGCACAGAAAACAAGGCUCUCAUUCUGAUCCCUGCCUUCAUACCUAAAACACCCAUCGAGAUUCCACGCCCAAAGUCCUAAUAGAACAAAUCUGAUUGGCCAGCCAGGGUCUGGCAACAACCUGUCAGAUCAGCUGAUUUGGGGGAUGGGGUAAAGGGGUGGAUUGUAGCUGUCGUGGCUGGGGGUGGGAAAGGUUGGCUAAGACGUGGGUAGUGGGAUCUGGCUGGCAUCCGUUUCCAGCCUGAUUCUCCUUACAGCUGAUGUUAAUUGACCCAUUGUCAAACCCCAGAUCCUUCUGCUUUAUCUGUACGAUCCCAUUUAAUGAGGCUUAGAUUGGAAGUAGGUUGUCCACAAUCACACUCCAAAUGAGCAGUGGAUCUAGCAUUUGAGCCCAGGCAUUGAGCUCAUGUGUCUUGAGGCAAUUCCGAACCACCCUUGUCUCUCUGGGUCCCUCUGUGGCUACAUUUUGCUCGGCCCUCCUCUGUGUCUCUGCUCCUGCCUCCCUCUUUCUCUUCCUGCGCAGAACUGCUGGCCAGACCCACCAUUGCAAUCAGCCAGGACACUGCCACGGAACAGAGGGAAAACCUGACCUUCUGCUGUAGCACCCAGGAUGCUGACGUUACCAUCCACUGGGUCUUCAACGAUCUCCCCCUGGUGUUCCAUGAGCGCAUGCAGCUGUCCACAGAUGGCAAGACCCUCACCAUCCUCACUGUACAGCGGGAAGACUCUGGGACUUACAAAUGUGAAGCCCAGGCUUUCCACCAGGUCCGGAGCAGUGCUCCCACCUUCCUGACUGUGAACUGUAAGUCCCUUUCCAUUCUCCCCAGCCCCUCAUCGACACCCCCUUCCUUGGUGAUCUCAUUCAGUCUCACUGCUUCAGAUACCAUCCAAAUGUGGACUCGUCUACCCUUGGACUCCAGACGUAUAACCAUUUGAUGUCUCUACUUGGUUCUACUGGAAACUUCCAAGUUAACAUAUCUAAAACUAAGUUCUUUAACCUUCAGAUGUGUGCUACAAAAGCUUGUCUGGGUAGUGGCAAGGAAAGAGCAUUUAGACACGUCUUACAAUCCUGCUUUACCCAGGGAUAAGGCUGACAUUUAAUUUCCACUGGGUUCCUGUAUCUCCUUUGUAAUUGAUCCAGAGCUUGGGUGGGGGAGAAGAGAAAUAUUAAUAUUUAUUGACCCCUGAGCUCUGUCUCUCUCAGAAAGCCAUUGCUGAGCUGUUGUUGCUGCUAUGAUUGUUCUUGUGCUUCCAGAUGGUCCUGACCCCUUUGAAAUCAAGUUGGAGUCUGGCGUAUCCAGAGGGGAGGUGGUUGAAGUGAUAGAGGGCUCCACUGUGACCUUCUCCGUGGAAACACAGUCCCAUCCUCCCCCUGCCUAUACCUGGUUUCUCCCCUAUGACUCCAUCCCACCUCCCACCAUGAGUUCGUUCACCAUCCAAGCUGUGUCCCGGGAACAUGAAGGCACGUACAGGUGCUUGGUAUCCAACGGUGCUACCCACCUGCUUCGCCUGGGCGCUCUUACAGUUCGAGUCCUUGGUGAGCUUCUUCUUCCUGUUCCUCUCCUUUGUUCCUCUGAGAAUCAGGGCUAUACCAGUAUCCCGGAGGCUGAGAAGGACCCAGAGGAGUGGGGAUUUCUCGUGUGGCUGGUGGCAGCAUAGGGCUCUGGCCACAGGGAAGGUCCUGGCUCCUGGCUUGACGUGUCCUCCCCAAGACCUCGUUGGCUGUCUAUGGGUUGUCCAUUAUUUGAUUCUCUCUGAAAGUUGGCGGGGAGGGGCGGGCGUUGAUUCUCUGUCCAUACAAACACACAAUAUUCACACAUCUCACACACACAGAGUCUCACAUGCGUAAAUAACAACCACAUAUGCACAGCUGUGCACGAUACACACAAUUUACAUACGAUACCCAUAACACAGUGCAACCAACGUAUAACCUACACACGAAACAUACGACGUGCACACAGCUGACACACGAUAUACAUACUCCGUAGCUACAGGCACACACGACAGCCAUACACAAAGCGUGUCCACACCACACGAUGACACACGCCACGUACAUUCACAUGCAGAAGGCCCACGUACACGAUACAAACUCACAAUGCCUCACAGUCACACAACAAAUACGACACACGCAUACAGCAGACACAGACAUAUGCACGAGACGCGUCCAUAGACCACACCCUCACCAAACAUACAAAACCCGUCACGUCCUCGCGAUUGUUACACGACACCCGCAGCACCCGUAUCACGCAGUCACACACACACACACACACACACACACACAAGACGUACACAUGUAUCCCUGGAAAGCCCCCAAGGGCCCCCCGCCUGGGCAGGAGACUAGGGAAGGGGUCCCUGACCCCUACCCGUGUCUCUUUGUGUUUCCAGAAACGCUGACCAAGCCUCACAUUGUGCCCCCAAGCCUGAAUCUCGUGGAAAAUGCCAGCUCCGUGGCCCUGACCUGCCAGACCCCCCAUGAGGGGGCUGGAGUCUGUGGCUCCUGAGGGGCCAGGCUCUCCUGCCCAGCGAUCACCUGGUGCUGUCGGCUGACAACAGGAGCCUGGUCAUCCACGGCCUCCGGAGGGACGACACAGGGCCCUAUGAGUGUGAGGUCUGGAACUGGGGCAGCCGGGCACGAAGCGAGCCCUUCAGGCUCGCCAUGAGCUGUGAGUCACCCGGGCUGGGCCUUGUCCUCCUCCCUCCCUCCUUCCCUUCCUCCCUCCUUCCCUCCCUCCUUCCCUCCUUCCCUCCCUCUUUCCCUCCCUCCCUUUCCGUUCUUCCUUCUAGCCAUUUAUUCCACAAUCACCGAAUACCUGCUGUGUGCCAGCCCUGUCUCGGCACCCGACAGGACGCAGCACCAGCCCUGGUGGGGCUUCUAUUCUAGUGGGGAGACAAACCUUAAACAGCUAAGCAGGGGACAGAUGUGUUGUGUCACCGCCGUGGGGCUAAGGAGAACCAGGAGGCAGCGAGAGGGGCAGGGAAGGCCGGGAGGGGAAGGCCUUGCAGUCUUAGCUGGGGUAGUCAGGGCAGGCUUCCCUGAGGAGGUGGCAUUCCUGCAGAAGCUUGUGGGCAGCUAAGGGAAGAGAGCGCCGGGCGGAGGGAGCAGCGUGCGAGGUGGGUGGUGACAAGUGGGCAGAGGAACCCGAGCAGGCCAAGGCGACCAGACAGGUGAACUGGGGCGGAUGGCAUGGAAGAGGUCAGGAGGUUGUAGGGCUGGGGGCAGAUCAUGCAGGGCCCCGUGAGCCGUGGUGAGGACACUGGGAGCCACAGAAGGCUCUGAGUGGAGGGAGGAGAGGAUUAGACUUAGGUUUUCCCAGAGUGUCCUAGGCCCUUGUCUAUGGGGGGCGGGGGUGAAGCGGGGGAGGAGGAGAUUUAGAAAGUUCGGGACCUUGGAGAGGCAGACCCCAGGGUAGGACUAAAGGGGUGACACGGGCGAGGAUUUUGGUAGGAUGAGUGCUCCUGUGCACAAACGAAGGGAGGGAGCUGUGAGGGCUGGGGGAGCCAGUGAGUGAGGUGUUUGACCCUGAGCAAGCAGAGGAGGGGAGGGCAGGGGUGGGGUAGAGAGGGUUGGGUAGAAGUACAGAGACCACCGUGCAGCCUAAGGAACAUUGUCAAGGCGGUAGGGAGAGUCCCAUGUCUCCCAGGAAGGGGUCUGCCUCAGUUUCCCCAACACACCCAGGUAUAAGUAGGGGGGCAGCCCGUGGGGAGGGCCGGCAGUGGAUUCCAGGGCACAGAGGUUGGGCCCUCCGUUACUGAAACCCCUGCCGUCGGAAGCCUGCGAGGCGCCUCCUCCCGGUGGCCACGGCUGUCCGUCAGGAGGUGACGGACCUGGGCCAGGGGGCAGCUGUGGGGGUGAGAAGCGGUGCGACCGUGGAUGCAUUUUGAAUAUCGAACUCACGGGGACAGCGUGCAAAGUGCCGCCGUGGGGCGACGGUGUUUGGGGAACCCGAGGGAAGCCCCCAGAGUCUGGCGGGGGAGGGGGGGUCGUGUGGGAAGGCUCGUGGUGAGAUGUGUCUACCAUGGGAUCCGAAGGACGGGCAAGUUGUCUAGGAAGAGCAGACUCCGGGAAGAGCAUUCCAGAGAAGGAAGAGAAUGUGCGAAGGCUCUGAGGCAAGACGGAACAGGAGAGAGGUGGAAGAUGCAAGCAGGAUGUUAUUUCUGGAUCGGGAGUGGAAGGUGUGGAGAGGUGGGCGGCGGGGCUGGAGGGGUCUGCAAGGGCGAGACUGUGAACGAGCCCCUCAGCCAUGGCCUUUGCCCUAAGGACACUGGGGAGCCAUGGAGGGUUCUGAGUGGGGGAGGGAUAGUGUCAAAUUUGCACUUAGGAAGUCCCCUCUGGUUGCCUUGGGGAGGAUCUGAUGCCAGGAUUGGAAGACCGUGAGGGAUCCUGGUAGCCAGGCGGUUCAGAUGGGGGGGCGGAUAUCAAAGGAUUCCUGGGCGGGGGGUGAGGGCAGGAUUGUCCUCUUUUCUAGGAGGGCAACAACUCAAAGCUCUUUGCAUCCUUCCUUCCAGUGGUUCAUCAUUAAUUUAUUUAAAAAAAAUUUUUUACGUCAUUUUAUUUUUGAAAGAAAGAGAUGAGGGGGGGAGGGGCAGAGAGAGAGAGAGAGAGAGAGAGAGAGGCACGGAAUCUGAAGCAGGAUCUAGGCUGAGCCUUCGGCACAACAGAGCCCCACGCAGGCCUCGAACCCACAGACCGUGAGACCAUGACCUGAGUAGAAGUCAGACUCUCAACCGCUUAACCAACUGGGCCACACCCAGGCACCUGUCACAUUAAUGUAAAUAAGGUAAAGACUCAGGGCACCCGGGGGGCCCGGUCCGUAGGCUGUCGUUUAAAGAAGACAAAGACUCAACUCUCAGUUUGCGUGAGAAAUUCAACAGCCAUUGCGUUUGUUUCCUUCCCUUUCCCUUCGUUUCCUUUCCUUUCCUUCCCUUCCCGUACCAGGCACCUGUCCCAGGCUCUCCUUCUGGCUUCACGGGGCAAAGCCACAAGCAUCUCUCUCUACCUUUGGGGAUACACGGGUGUAAAUUCAAAUAUUGCAACAGGGCUAUUUGCUGUUCGGUUAGAAAGUCCCUCAGAACGGUGACGGUUCUGGAAGUUUAGGGCUCAUGCUUGUGGGACGCGGCAGCAGGACAGGAAAACUCACUGGUGGAGGGUGGAGGCGUGAUGUUUGGCUUUGCACACAGACGGCCCUGACCGAGUGGACAUCACCAGCGGGUCUGCGCCCGGGGUGGUCGGCACCGUGGAGGCCGAGCUCAACUCCAGCCUGACCCUGCGGUGCCGGGCGGAGUCCCAGCCGGGCGCUGAGUUUCGCUGGGCCCUUGAACAGUCCACCGCUGUGCAUGCGGGGCAGGUGCUGAUCAUCCGGGCCCUGACCUGGGAGCACCAGGGGAUCUACGGCUGCACGGCCUCCAACCCGCUGACCCAGCUGGCCCGCUCUGCCUCGGUCCGGGUCAGAGUGGUAGGUGAGUCCCCCAGCGCCCCUUCCCCUGGGGUCCAAGUGGCUUUUCCUGAUGCCGGCCGAAGCUAUGUGGGCUUCUCGCGUGGCAGGGAGUGUGCUGCGUGGGCAGGUUCCCAGUGUGGAGCUGUUCGAUCCCAGCCUAGAACCUCUGCUUCCUAGCCGUGCGCCCCCCGGGAAACCCUUGCAGGCUGCUCUGAGCCUCAGUUUCCUUACCUGUAAACGGGGGUUGUGAUGCCUUCCCUUCCAGAGUUGUUUAGCAGUACAGUGAGUCGGGAGACAGCCCCUGGGUGGAGGAGUGAGGUAGGAAUUCUAUUAAUGAUAGGAAUCACAUGAAUCACAACUGGGUGUGACUGGCAGCGGGUCCCCGUAUUUCUGUCUUGAGUUCUCGAGGGGACAACACGGUGUGGCUCUUAGCCAGGGUUCCGAUCCCAGCUCUGCUGCUUGAUAGCUGUGUGACCCUGGGCGUGCUGCUUAACAUCUCUGGUCCUCUGAUUACUUGUAGGUAACACAGACAUAAUAACCGCGCUUAUAUCCUAGGGUUGUUGAAAAUGAACCGACAUUCGUAAAGUGUUUAUGGCAGUGCCUGGCAUAUUGUGUUUAUUAAACAAAUAGAAUUAUUCUUUGCUGAGCCUGUACCACAUGCUUGAAACAAGCCUUUCCAUAUACCGUAUCAGCAAACACUUCUUGGGUAGCUCCCCAGCCAGCCGGCUCCGAGGUGGGCCUGCUGGCAUCUCUGUUGGGUAGGAGAGACUGAGCCCUGUCCUAGGGUCUGAAGCCAGGAGCGACGUUUUUAGUCAUCGCUGAGCAGAGGACCCGGUGUACCUUCCCAAACUACCAUAUGUAAUCUUCAGAACAACCCUCUGGUCUUGUUAAGACCUUUUUUUUUUUUCUAUUUUUUAAAUGCUUAUUUAAUUUUUGAGAGAGAGAGCAUGAGUAGGGGAGAGGCAGAGAGAGAGGGAGACGCAGAAUCCGAAGCAGGCCCCAGGCUCCGAGCUGUCAGGACGGAGCCCGACGUGGGGCUCGAACCCACGAGCUGUGGGAUCAUGACCUGAGCCGAAGUCGGACGCUUAACCGACUGAGCCACCCAGGUGUCCCCAAGACCUCUUGAUGAAUGGAGAAACAGAGGCUCAGAGGAGGAAGCAGUGAGUCCGGUUGAUGGUCAUGGGGAUGUUGUAGGGUUUGAACGAGAUCACGUAUGAAGGGCUCUCGGAGCUUAGAGCCUGGGGGAAGGCAGCGUCUGGCAUCAUCAUCACCGGAUCGUAUCAUCGCCUUUCACCAAGUGCUGACUCUGUGUCAGGCAUGGCCCUGGUUCUUCCAAGUGGGAUCUCACUUGAUCCCGGCAGAAGCCUAUAGGGUUAUGAAUGGCCAUGCUCAUUUGGCACAGGAAGAAACGAAAGCUCGGAGAAUGAAACCAAGAACCCCCGUCGCAUCCUGGAAGCCCCCCUCCUGUGCCUCCAGAGCAGAGCCCCUUCCUUCUUAAGAGCAGUGUCCUGAUUCUUUCUCCUUGCCCAGGUCCCCAGUCAUCCCUGUCUGCAGGAGCCAUUGGUGGCAUUGCUAUCGGGAUCCUGGCUCUCAUUGCCCUGUCCGCAGGGCUGGGCUGUUUCCUCUGCAUCAGAAAUGCCAGACGG